UACGUAGGCAGCAAGCGUUGUUCGGAGUUACUGGGCGUAAAGGGUGCGUAGGCGGCCGUGUAAGUGUGGUGUGAAAUCUCCCGGCUUAACUGGGAGGGUGCGCUACAGACUGCAUAGCUAGAGUGUGGGAGAGGAAAGUGGAAUUCCUGGUGUAGCGGUGAAAUGCGUAGAUAUCAGGAGGAACACCGGUGGUGUAAACGGCUUUCUGGACCAUAACUGACGCUGAUGCACGAAAGCGUGGGUAGCAAACAGG
rnacentral:rRNA from 1 species